CACCAGGCUGCCUAAACUUCUUCUGUAGGUAGCAGAGAGUGAGAGCAUGAACAAGGCAACCAAAGCCACCUGAGUUAAGACAGUCCUGAUCAGCCAGUGAAGGAACUUCUCCCUCUCUGCUGGAUAUGGCUUCCUUCUGCCCUGCCCGUGAUGUUCUGCUAUUGCCAUUUUACAGGAGAAGGCACAAUCAGUGGGUCUCUUGACCUGGCAAGAAAUUGAAGUCAGGUGGGUGACUAGAGGUGGAGGAGGGAACAUGUCUGCCUUCUGUGCAGCUUUAUUCACCAGCAAGCUUGCAUUUAACUCCAAUUUUCAAGUGUCUCACAAAAGAUUAUCACAUGGGUCCU